CUGACCACAGGCUUUGGUUUCAGGACAAUGCAGACUGGGCAGCAGAUCAAAUAAAGCCAUCACCAGCGCAUAGGACAGUCUCAAGGGGGUUAACUGUCCCUGUCCUCUACAAUUGUUGCUGGGGAGCAAUUUGCCCUUGAAUCUUCCAUACUGUCCCUAAAUUGACAAUUUCAUUUCCUUCCAAUCCCGCCCCCUGCCCUGAAGAUCUGCUGAGGCUGCGAGUUCCAUGUGAGAAGGCAGGAGGAUAAUAGCCAGCUCCUGUGUAAGGAAGUCAAGAUUUUCUCAAGGGAAAAAUCACCCUAGAAACCAUCAACUCAUGACAAACGUGAUCUCCAACGUUCAUUGUGGAAAAUAGCCUCAAGGAUGAGAUGAUGAGGAUUUUGAAGAUGGGUCUUAAGAGAAAACACUGAGGUCCCUCGAAGAUGAAGAAAUCCUCAUGAAGAUGAAUCCAAAGGUGGAUUCAAUUUCAGCUGUCUUUGGACUGAAGACUGCAACAUCAACACUUCCCAGGGUCUCCAGCCUGCCCGCCUCUCCCGCAAAUUUCAGAUUUGCAAGUAUCCACAGUCAUGAGCAAUUCCUUAAAUGAAGUGCAAAAAAUGAACAAGGAGGCCCAAUGAUGCAUCUGCUUAACUUUUCAGUUGUCAAUGCAAAUUAAGCACAAAGAGGACAGAGUUGAUGACAUAUCAGGAACAUUUUUUACUUCCGGAGCAGGUCUGAGUCCCAGCGGAAGACUGAGGCCGACUGAGCCAGAGGCACCACUUCAAUAGGUCACUGGUCUCUGCAGGGAAAGGAAAAGGUGUAAGAGUUCUCCCUGCAUAGAUGCUAUUUGUGACUUGGAUGUUUUCUUUCUAAUACAAAUGCAUCAAAGUGUUCACAGGAAUCUAGCUAUAUGCAAGAAGUCUGGAUUAUCUGCCUGAGAGAACUGGCCAGUAUCUCACCCAUGAGCACCAGAACCCAUUUCUAGAUUACUAAGAAAGGAGCACAAGAACACUGUGUAUAAGGCUCUGUGUUCCUAGAACUUUCUAAAUUUUACUUAAUGCAGGUUAACUUCAUCAACCCUGGUGAAAAUGCCACCUCCUCAUGAGGAAGCCUUCCC
ensembl:lncRNA GACAT3 gastric cancer associated transcript 3